rnacentral:rRNA from 1 species
UACAGAGGGUGCGAGCGUUAAUCGGAAUUACUGGGCGUAAAGCGCACGUAGGUGGCGACGUAAGUCGGGUGUGAAAGCCCCGGGCUCAACCUGGGAAUUGCAUUCGAGACUGCGUUGCUGGAGUACGGAAGAGGAGGGCGGAAUUCCCGGUGUAGCGGUGAAAUGCGUAGAUAUCGGGAGGAACAUCAGUGGCGAAGGCGGCCUUCUGGUCCAGUACUGACACUCAAGUGCGAAAGCGUGGGGAGCAAACAGG